CCUACGGGGCGCAGCAGUGGGGAAUAUUGGACAAUGGGCGAAAGCCUGAUCCAGCCAUGCCGCGUGUGUGAAGAAGGCCUUCGGGUUGUAAGGCACUUUCAGUGGGGAAGAAAGCCUUGGGGCUAAUACCCUCGAGGAAGGACAUCACCCACAGAAGAAGCACCGGCUAACUCCGUGCCAGCAGCCGCGGUAAUACGGAGGGUGCGAGCGUUAAUCGGAAUUACUGGGCGUAAAGCGCGCGUAGGCGGUCUGAUAAGCCGGUUGUGAAAGCCCCGGGCUCAACCUGGGAACGGCAUCCGGAACUGUCAGGCUAGAGUGCAGGAGAGGAAGGUAGAAUUCCCGGUGUAGCGGUGAAAUGCGUAGAGAUCGGGAGGAAUACCAGUGGCGAAGGCGGCCUUCUGGACUGACACUGACGCUGAGGUGCGAAAGCGUGGGUAGCAAACAGGAUUAGAUACCCGGGUAGUC
rnacentral:rRNA from 1 species